AAAAUUUUACAACAGCGGGUAAAAUUCCUACUCGUUUUUCCAAAAACAAGAAUAAUCCAAAACUCGUCGUUCUGACUUCACAGAAACCUUCUCAUUCAUGAAAGAGGAUUACAACUCAAAAGUCUGUGCCUUUCCAGCGCACGAGCACAAAACAGACUCCAUCUCAGCAAAAAUCCUAUUAUUGCGACGAUACUCACAAAAACACUUAACCAAAAACCCUAAAUUCCUUAGCCAU
rnacentral:lncRNA from 1 species